CGUUAACACCGAAGUUAAGCAACGUCGAGCUUGGUCAGUACCUAGAUGAGUGACCGCUUGGGAAUACCAAGUGCUGUAAG